rnacentral:rRNA from 1 species
AGAAAAGCCGUCAGGUGAGCGGCGGGAGAUGGGAGGGGGAAAGCGUUAUCAGGUGUGAUGGUGUGUAAAGGUGGUGCAGGCGUACUUUGGAGGUAGCGGUGAAAUCUCCGGGGUCAACCCGGAAAGUGCCAUGGAUACUAUUGGUCUUGGAUGUUUUUGAGGUGGGCGGGACGGGUCAUGUAGCGGUGAAAUGCAUAGAUAUGACCCGGAACAACGAUUGCGUAGGCAGCCCACUAAGCAACGAUUGACGGUGAGGCACGAAAGCGUGGGGAUCAAACAGGAUUAGAUACCCAAGUAGUC